rnacentral:rRNA from 1 species
GAUGAACGCUGGCGGCGUGCCUAAUACAUGCAAGUCGAGCGAAUGGAUUAAGAGCUUGCUCUUAUGAAGUUAGCGGCGGACGGGUGAGUAACACGUGGGUAACCUGCCCAUAAGACUGGGAUAACUCCGGGAAACCGGGGCUAAUACCGGAUAACAUUUUGAACCGCAUGGUUCGAAAUUGAAAGGCGGCUUCGGCUGUCACUUAUGGAUGGACCCGCGUCGCAUUAGCUAGUUGGUGAGGUAACGGCUCACCAAGGCAACGAUGCGUAGCCGACCUGAGAGGGUGAUCGGCCACACUGGGACUGAGACGCGGCCCAGACUCCUACGGGAGGUAGCAGUAGGGAAUCUUCCGCAAUGGACGAAAGUCUGACGGAGCAACGCCGCGUGAGUGAUGAAGGCUUUCGGGUCGUAAAACUCUGUUGUUAGGGAAGAACAAGUGCUAGUUGAAUAAGCUGGCACCUUGACGGUACCUAACCAGAGAGCCACGGCUAACUACGUGCCAGCCGCCGCGGUAA